rnacentral:rRNA from 1 species
GACGAACGCUGGCGGCGGGCUUAACACAUGCAAGUCGAACGGAAAGGCACUGCUUUUGUGGGGUGCCCGAGUGGCGAACGGGUGAGUAACACGUGAGUAACCUGCCCUUGACUUUGGGAUAACUUCAGGAAACUGGGGCUAAUACCGGAUAGGAGCUCCUGCUGCAUGGUGGGGGUUGGAAAGUUUCUGCGGUAGGGGAUGGACUCGCGGCUUAUCAGCUUGUUGGUGGGGUAGUGGCUUACCAAGGCUUUGACGGGUAGCCGGCAUGAGAGGGUGAACGGGCUCAAUAGGACUGAGGUACGGCCCAGUCGCCAACGUUAGGCAACAGUGGGGAGUAUUGCACAGUGAGCGGGAGCCUGAUGCGGCGGCGCCGCGUGCGGAAAGACGGCCUUCGGGUUAUAAACCGCUUUCGCCUGAGACGAAGCGGGAGUGACGGUAAUGAAUAAAGAAGCACCGGCUAACUACGUG